UAAGGAAUAUUGGUCAAUGCCCGGAAGGGUGAACCAGCCACGCCGCGUGGAGGAUGAAGGCGCUAUGCGUUGUAAACUUCUUUAGAAUGGGAAGAAAGUUGAAUAUUAAUAUUCAUUUGACGGUACCAUUAGAAUAAGCACCGGCUAACUCCGUGCCAGCAGCCGCGGUAAUACGGAGGGUGCGAGCGUUAUCCGGAAUCACUGGGUUUAAAGGGUGCGUAGGCGGUGACGUAAGUCAGUGGUGAAAGGUGUCGGCUUAACCGACGAACUGCCAUUGAUACUGCGUUGCUAGAAUUGAGAUGAGGUAACUGGAAUGUGACAAGUAGCGGUGAAAUGCAUAGAUAUGUCAUAGAAUACCGAUUGCGAAGGCAGGUUACUGGACUCAUAUUGACGCUGAGGC
rnacentral:rRNA from 1 species